rnacentral:lncRNA from 1 species
CUUGAAUUUUUAGGGUACUAACAAUCAAAUCAGUAACCUUUUAAGCUGGUUCAAAGAUGGCACUUUGCUCUACAAGCAGGGCGGGGCAUGGACUUCUUUUACCAGAUCCAUCCCUGUCCUCGUCAACACGUUGGUGAACUUCUGGGGCAGGCCCAGCAGCAUUUGCUUUACGUUCCCCUGCUUUGUCUUCUUCCCGAGGGUGAGGUGCAGGAGCUUGCGGAAAGACUCCCAUGAUCCCCUUCUCGAAGACGUACGUCAGUGAUAUAGAGGUCGAAGCUCGAAGCAUCGGUGUUGUAUACACUCAUGAUUUGUUCUGUAGACACAUAGAGCAGUUGUGAAAAGAUAAAUUACCCAUCAAAAUAACGGAAGCAAGGUAAACAUUUGGUCGAAGGAAUCAAAUAACCAUUAAAACCCAUUUUACUACUAUGAACCGUUUCCCAAAGAGUCCAUGGAAGUCUGUUUCGGGUUCUGUGAAUGAAAAUAACGUGGAGGUAGCUGGAAAAAAAAAAUGCUUCCCCACCGACUGCAGGAUUCCGU